rnacentral:rRNA from 1 species
UAAACCCAAAGGCGAAAUGAAAGUAAAUAGUGGUUUAAUUGAAUUUUCAGUUUCCAUUAUAGGGAAGAUGGAAUUACCAAUUGAUUGUAAAUUUUUAGCAUUUAUGUURAAAAUUUCUGUCAAUAUCGGUUUCCCGCACUCCCGGGGCGCUUGUUUCUCGCAUUGCGAGUCACUGCGCACCUAGAGCGUACACGAUGAUACCCGAAAGAUGGUGAACUAUGCCUGGCCAGGACGAAGCCAGGGGAAACCCUGGUGGAGGUCCGCAGCGAUUCUGACGUGCAAAUCGAUCGUCGGAGCUGGGUAUAGGGGCGAAAGACCAAUCGAACCAUCUAGUAGCUGGUUCCCUCUGAAGUUUCCCUCAGGAUAGCUUGCACUCGGUUGAGAAGAGUCUCAUCCGGUAGAGCGAAUGAUUAGAGGCAUUGGGGUCGAAACGACCUCAACCUAUUCUCAAACUCCAAAUAGAUGAGACCCCCGGCUUUCUUAAAAAUGAAGCCGUGGGUAUCGGAUCAGAGUGCCAAGUGGGCCAAU